rnacentral:rRNA from 1 species
GGGUGCGAUCAUACCAGCAUUAAUGCACCGAAUCCCAUCAGAACUCCGCAGUUAAGCGCACUUGGGCUAGAGUAGUACUGGGAUGGGUGACCUCUCGGAAAUUCCUAGUGUUGCACCCU